rnacentral:rRNA from 1 species
ACCGGCGGCUCGAGUGGUGGCCACUAUUACUGGGCUUAAAGCGUUCGUAGCUGGCUUGUUAAGUCUCUGGGGAAAUCUUCAGGCUCAAACGGAAGGCGUAUCAGGGAUACUGGCAGGCUAGGGAACGGAAGAGUUGAGUGGUAUUCCAGGGGUAGGAGUGAAAUCCUGUACUCCUUGUGGGACCACCUGUGGCGAAGGCGUCUCACCAGGACGGCUCCGACAGUGAUGAACGAAAGCUGGGCUAGCAAACCG